rnacentral:rRNA from 1 species
AUACGGAGGGUCCAAGCGUUAUCCGGAAUCAUUGGGUUUAAAGGGUCCGCAGGCGGUCAAUUAAGUCAGAGGUGAAAGCCCAUCGCUCAACGAUGGAACUGCCUUUGAUACCGGUUGACUUGAGUUAUACGGAAGUAGAUAGAAUAAGUUGUGUAGCGGUGAAAUGCAUAGAUAUUACUUAGAAUACCGAUUGCGAAGGCAGUCUACUACGUAUAUACUGACGCUGAGGGACGAAAGCGUGGGGAGUGAACAGGAUUAGAAACCCUAGUAGUCC